rnacentral:rRNA from 1 species
ACUGAACGCUAGCGGCAGGCCUAAUACAUGCAAGUCGAACGGUGUCUUCGGACAUAGUGGCGUACGGGUGCGUAACACGUAUGCAACCUACCUUACAUUGGGGGAUAGCCUUUCGAAAGGGAGAUUAAUACAGCAUAAGACAGUAACUAGGCAUCUAGUAGCUGUUAAAGAUUUAUCGAUGUAAGCUGGGCAUGCGUCCAAUUAGCUAGUUGGUGAGGUAACGGCUCACCAAGGCAAUGAUUGGUAGGGGAACUGAGAGGUCAAUCCCCCACACUGGCACUGAGAUACGGGCCAGACUCCUACGGGAGGCAGCAGUAGGGAAUAUUGGGCAAUGAACGCAAGUCUGACCCAGCCAUGCCGCGUGCAGGAUGAAGGCGUUAUGCGUUGUAAACUGCUUUUAUACAGGAAGAAACGACUCUUGCGAGAGGCAUUGACGGUACUGUAUGAAUAAGCACCGGCUAACUCCGUGCCAGCCGCCGCUGUAAUAC